rnacentral:rRNA from 1 species
CAAAAACAUGUCUUUUUGAUAAUGAUUUAAGGUCGGGCCUGCCCAAUGAUUUUUAAAUGGCCGCAGUAUUUUGACUGUGCAAAGGUAGCAUAAUCAUUAGUUUCCUAAUUAGGAGCUGGUAUGAAUGGUUUGAUGAGAGGCUGACUGUCUCUGUCUAGUUUGCUUAGAAUUUUAUUUUUGAGUAAGAAAGCUUAAAUUUCAUAUAAAGACGAGAAGACCCUAUAGAGUUUAAUAGUUUAUUAAUUAGGUUUUAGUAGGGUUUUUUGUUUUCUGGUUAAUUUACUAUUUCGUUGGGGUGAUGUGAAAGUUAGAGUAACCUUUCAUUAUUUAAACAUUAAUUAGUGGCUUCUUGAUCCUUAGUUUUGGAUUAUAAGAUCAAAUUACCUUAGGGAUAACAGCGUGAUUUUUCCUGAAAGUUCUUAUUGAUGGGGAAGUUUGCGACCUCGAUGUUGGAUUAAAAUUUACUUUUGG